CGACUUCUACUGCGGCUGCGCAAGCUCGACGCGCGCAGUCUUGUCUGCUUACCAGGGCUCCUCCCUUCAUCUUUGGUCCCUCGGGGCGUCUGGGCAGCCUACGCUUUCCGGAUAAAAAUGGCAGAAUGAAAGAAUUAUGAGUGGGACUAGAGAAUAGGAAAGACACGAACCAACGCCCAAAAUGAGAAAGAAGGACAUAUAAAGAAAAAGACAAAUAGAAGUGAAAAAAAUAGACUAAUGGAUUAACAUCCCUGUUGUGUGACAUUUUCUUGUAUGACAGCUGAAGAUGUUGAACCCUAUGGUGCAUUUUUGCAAAUAGUCUAUGAAGUGGGAUACUAUGGAAAUGAUAUUAGACAAAAAGCAACUUCAAGGGAUUUUCUUAUUUGAGUUCAAAAUGGGUCAUAAAGCAGCAGAGACAACUCGAAACAUGAACAGCGCAUUUGGCCCAGGAACUACUAACGAACAUACAGGGCAGCUGUGAUUCAAGAAGUUUUGCAAAGGAGACUAGAGCCUUGAAUAUGAGGAACACCGUGGCCGGCCAUUGGAAGUUGACAACAACUAAUUGAGAGCAAUUGUCGAAGCUGAUCCUCUUACAACUACACAGGAAGUUGCCUAAGAACUCAACGUCGACCAGUCUGUGGUCAUUUGGCAUUUGAAGCAAAUUGGAAAGGUGAGAAAGCUCAAUAAGUGGGUGCCUCAUGAGCUGAGCAAAAAUUUUUAAAAUCGUCAUUUUGAAGUGUCGUCAUCUGUGCAACAACAACAAACCAUUUCUCAGUCAGAUUGUGACGUGCAACAGAAGUGGAUUUUAUAUGACAACCGGUGAUGACCAGCUCAGUGAUUGGACUGAGAAGCUGCAAAGCACUUCCCAAAGCCAAACUUGCACCAAAAAAAGGUCACGGUCACUGUUUGGUGCUCUGCUGCCAGUCUCAUCCACUACAACUUUCUGAAUCCCAGCGAAACCAUUACAGCAGAGAAGUAUGCUCAGCAAAUUGAUGAGGUGCACCGAAAACUGCAACACUUGCUGCUGGCAUAGGUCCACAGAAAGGGCCCAGUUCUUUUUUUUUUUCUUUUUUUUUUCCGAGACAUAGUCUCACUCUCACCCAGGCUGGAGUGCAGUGGUUCAAUUUCGGCUCACUGCAACCUCUGCCUCCCAGGUUCAAACAAUUCUACCUCGCCCUCCCGAGUACCUCAGAUUGCAGGCGCCUGCCACCACGCCUGGCUAAUUUUUGUAUUUUUAGUAGAAACAGGGUUUCACCAUGUUGGUCAAGCCAGUCUCAAACUCCUGACCUCAAGUAAUCCACCCGCCUCAGCCUCCCAAAGUGCUGAGAUAACAGGCGUGAUUCACUGCGCCUAGCAGGUCCCAAUUCUUCUCCAUGAUAAUGCCCAACUGCAUGUUGCACAACCAGUGCUUCAGAAGUUAAGGGAAUUGGUCUAUGAAAUUUUGCCUCAUCUGCCAGAUUCACCUGACUUCUUGCCAACCAACUACCACUUCUUGAAGCAUCUUGACAACUUUUUGCAGGUGAAAUGCUUCCACACCAGCAGGAUGCAGAAAAAUGCUUUCCAAGAGUUUGUUGAAUCCAGAAGCAUGGAUGUUUACGCUGCAGGAAUAAACAAACUUAUUUCUCGUUGGCAAAAAUGCAUUGAUUGUAAUGGUUCCUAUUUUGAUUAAUAAAGAUGUGUUUGAGCCUAGUUAUAAUGAUUUAAAAUUAAUGGUCCAAAAAUGCAAUUACUUUUGCACCACGAACAACACACACACACCCCCCUAUACAUUCUGGAUUUGAAUUCCAUGUUGAUUAUGUGCAUUUGGAAUAUUUCUUUUCCAUCUGUGGAUUGUUCUAUCACUUAUUUUCUUUAAUAAAUGGGUUUCUGAACCUCUGUUGUAUUGAC